AGCGAACGCUGGCGGCAGGCUUAACACAUGCAAGUCGAACGGGCAUAGCAAUAUGUCAGUGGCAGACGGGUGAGUAACGCGUGGGAACGUACCUUUUGGUUCGGAACAACACAGGGAAACUUGUGCUAAUACCGGAUAAGCCCUUACGGGGAAAGAUUUAUCGCCGAAAGAUCGGCCCGCGUCUGAUUAGCUAGUUGGUAGGGUAAUGGCCUACCAAGGCGACGAUCAGUAGCUGGUCUGAGAGGAUGAUCAGCCACAUUGUGACUGAGACACGGCCCAAACUCCUACGGGAGGCAGCAGUGGGGAAUAUUGGACAAUGGGCGAAAGACUGAUCCAGCCAUGCCGCGUGAGUGAUGAAGGCCAUAGGGUUGUAAAGCUCUUUUGUGCGGGAAGAUAAUGACGGUACCGCAAGAAUAAGCCCCGGCUAACUUCGUG
rnacentral:rRNA from 1 species